rnacentral:rRNA from 1 species
CCCUUAGAUGUUCUGGGCUGCAUGCGCGCUACACUGAAGCUAUCAACACGUUUUCCCUCCCUGAGAAGGGCGGGUAACCUUUUGAAUCAGCUUCGUGGUAGGGAUCGGGGCUUGCAAUUGUUCCCCGUGAACCAGGAAUUCCUAGUAGACGCGAGUCAUAGGCUCGCAUCGAUUAAGUCCCUGCCCUUUGUACACACCGCCCGUCGCUACUACCGAUUGAACGUUUUAGUGAGGCAUUUGGACCGACGCAUCUCAGUUUAACCGCUGGUUUGUGUUGGAAAGACUUCCAAACUUGAGCGUUUAGAGGAAGUAAAAGUCGUAACA